AAAAGCGCAACGGUUCAUUAAACGUCGUCAUGGGCUUCGCAAUUAAAAGCCAACAUUUGGUUUUCAUAUUCCCAAUAAUAAUUAACAUGACCCAAUAAAACCUAAUACUUCAGGCCCACGAAUAAUAUGUUUUUGACGAUCUGAGUUCCGUCCUCUUUCUCUUGGGGGAACCAAGCCAUAACCUCCGACAGAUCCGUUCCCCUGCAAUAACUCGACGGAGUAACCCACUGUGAAAAUGGGAGGCAAUCAAUUUGUUCUUCAAUGCAGAUUUUUCACCUCCUAUCAAACAACUGUACUAUAUAUGUCAUUGAGUUACUGGAUCGAAUUCAUAAAUCUUAACAUAGCAGUCAUGCAAAAGAACAAUAUUUAUGAAUUCUUCAGAGAUUUGCAGACCAGCUUGAUAUUUUUUUGAUAUUUAACACGAUCAAUGUACACUAGAGUGGACUUCUGCAAGAGAUUGUGUGGCGUCUCAGUGAUCAGAAGUGGAGAAAGCAUGUAGAACACACUAAGAGCUUGCUGCAACAGUAUUAAGAUUGGUAAAAUCUUAAUACACAUAGAGAAAAAUGAUGGUGUCAGUUGAUAUAUGAGAAGAUACCAAAAGAUAUCGCAAGCCUGACAUGUCUUCCUCCUGACCUUUUUAUAGCUUCAGUGAAUGCUAUAUCUAAUAUCUUUGCUUAUCAGCAAGGGAGUUCCAGAAUCGCAUAUUAUCUUUCUUAACGUCAUAGCAGCACCUCAAGGGAUUCACGGGCUCUGCAAGAAACAUCCAAUGGUCUGGGAGAGUUCGCAGACCAUUACUUUGGUACAGACAACUCAAAAAAGUAUCAAGAAUAUCCAGGAAUGCCGAUUACUUAGUUCCAUUUUUCUGAUUUAAAGACGGUUGCUUGAGAGCUCAUGGCUGUGGACUUCGUUAGGUAACUAAUCUAUUAUUUCUGAGUUUGUUUGGACUCAAUGUUAACUCAGAUUAUAGAUGAGAUCAACUUCAACAACAUAUCACUUCAACCCCAUGAAAUAUUUUUGUUUGAGCUGGUGAAUAGAAAACACCCGACAUCCCUUUGUGAAAGAGUCAUAACACUCCAAAAACAGCGAAGAAUGAAGGUCUCAACGGGGCUUUCACAGUUAGCCAAGACAAGGAUCUAUUACAACAUUCAAAAGAAGUGGACAAGUUGCAGGUCAUGAAUCAUGUUCCCAAUCUCUAUAAUUAAAGUUAAGAUGAUAAGGUUCCAUGAUAAAAAAAACGUUUGCACCACGGUUUUGGACACAGCUCAUCUCAAAAAAGCUGCAAGACUAGCUAGGAAAAAAUAUUGAGGGACUCAAAAAAGUUCUCACCUCCUAACCUCGUUUAUAACUGCAGGUCACUAUCGCCAUAUCCACCUGCACACGUAGCUCCAAAGAGAAGUGGGGAAUCUAGAAGUCUUCAAGAUUGUAGUGUCCAAACUUCUCAGAACCAGGUAGACUAUAAAACUAUUAAAUGCAAAUAAUUUUCCUGCAAAUCAAGGUGCUACCUCUCAAACAAUUAUUACCAUUUACGUCAUUUAACCCAAAUUUCUCUUCCACAUCCUCUUAUUAUUCAUAGCUAAAGCUAAACAAAACAGAGCUUUCAGGAUUCAACUUAUAAAAUUUAAACGUCAGCAAAGUAUGGCAAAAAGUAAUAUAUUCUCCUCUCCAACCAGAUACUCAUUAUAACACAUGCAUAAAUUAUACUUUUUUCCUGCAUAUGCAUGGAGCAAAUCACAGUGUAUUUUUUGUGGCAAAUAAAUAAUGCUAUUAUUUCUAACAGAGCCAAACGCACCGUCCAUGAACAGCAGGACCACUUCAACCACGUCCAAAGAACAUAGGAACCAGAAAAAGCAACAGCUCCAGCAAUUGAGAUUUGGUAACAUGUCCUAUAUCUAAUACCUUUGUGAGGAUAGGUGAAGCAGUAAGGAUAGUCAACCAGCAUGCCAAUAGGAGGUUCUACAUAUGUUGUAACAAGGAAGUUGAGCUCCUACCACUCCACGAACUUCCUUCACCUUUGAAAGAGCUCCUUGACGCACCAAUGUUCCGAGUUUUAAUACGUGUUGCGAAUGGAAUGAUUGCUUUUACUUCAUCGGGUGCUCAUGUCGAUCAUACUAUCACUGGAAAACCUGGCCAUUCAUUUACCGAAUACAUGGUCAAAACCAACACCGUAUCGGUUCACUCUUGUAUGUUGACGAAGAACCACCACAGUAUCUCCAGCUAUAUAUUUUUAUACUGUAAAUAAAAUAGAAAAAGAAGAAAGCCUUAUGAAAAGGAACAUCGACUAUAAACUUAGACAACCAAGUUUCAGAUUUUCCGUCGAUUGAUAUGUCAGUUAUCCCAUCUUCGGUUUAAUUAUUUAUAAAUAAAUAUUUAAGUAAAGAGAGUUCUAAAUA